rnacentral:rRNA from 1 species
AGUGAACGCUGGCGGUAGGCCUAACACAUGCAAGUCGAACGGCAGCACAGUAAGAGCUUGCUCUUACGGGUGGCGAGUGGCGGACGGGUGAGGAAUACAUCGGAAUCUACUUUUUCGUGGGGGAUAACGUAGGGAAACUUACGCUAAUACCGCAUACUACCUACGGGUUAAAGCAGGGGAUCUUCGGACCUUGCGCGAUUGAAUGAGCCGAUGUCGGAUUAGCUAGUUGGCGGGGUAAAGGCCCACCAAGGCGACGAUCCGUAGCUGGUCUGAGAGGAUGACCAGCCACACUGGAACUGAGACACGGUCCAGACUCCUACGGGAGGCAGAAGUGGGGAAUAUUGGACAAUGGGCGAAAGCCUGAUCCAGCCAUACCGCGUGGGUGAAGAAGGCCUUCGGGUUGUAAAGCCCUUUUGUUGGGAAAGAAAAGCAGCAGGUUAAUACCCCGCUGUUCUGACGGUACCCAAAGAAUAAGCACCGGCUAACUUCGUG